GCUGGAAUAAACGUGUAGAAAGCGUAUGGUUUCCUUGUGCGGACGUGGGUUCGAAUCCCACCAGCUCCACUA
rnacentral:tmRNA from 1 species